rnacentral:tRNA from 1 species
GACUGAAAAAGAAAGGUAAAUAAGAACAUGAAUGACUCCCUCCUAAGGGGCAGGUUAUUGGUUCGAAUCCAAUCGGGGUCACCA